rnacentral:rRNA from 1 species
CAGGAAGACUGCCCUAUGGGUUGUAAACUGCUUUUAUACAGGAAGAAACACCCCGACGUGUCGGGGCUUGACGGUACUGUAAGAAUAAGGAUCGGCUAACUCCGUGCCAGCAGCCGCGGUAAUACGGAGGAUCCAAGCGUUAUCCGGAAUCAUUGGGUUUAAAGGGUCCGUAGGUGGAUAAUUAAGUCAGGGGUGAAAGUCUGCAGCUCAACUGUAGAAUUGCCUUUGAUACUGGUUGUCUUGAGUUAUUAUGAAGUAGUUAGAAUAUGUGGUGUAGCGGUGAAAUGCAUAGAUAUCACAUAGAAUACCAAUUGCGAAGGCAGAUUACUAAUAAUAUACUGACACUGAUGGACGAAAGCGUGGGGAGCGAACAGGAUUAGAUACCCUGGUAGUCCACGCCGUAAACGAUGGUUACUAGCUGUUCGAACUUCGGUUUGAGUGGCUAAGCGAAAGUGAUAAGUAACCCACCUGGGGAGUACGUUCGCAAGAAUGAAACUCAAAGGAAUUGACGGGGGCCCGCACAAGCGGUGGAGCAUGUGGUUUAAUUCGAUGAUACGCGAGGAACCUUACCAGGGCUUAAAUGUAGAUUGACAGGUUUAGAGAUAGACUUUUCUUCGGACAAUUUACAAGGUGCUGCAUGGUUGUCGUCAGCUCGUGCCGUGAGGUGUCAGGUUAAGUCCUAUAACGAGCGCAACCCCUGUUGUUAGUUGCCAGCGAGUCAAGUCGGGAACUCUAACAAGACUGCCAGUGCAAACUGUGAGGAAGGUGGGGAUGACGUCAAAUCAUCACGGCCCUUACGUCCUGGGCUACACACGUGCUACAAUGGUAGGUAC